UCACGAAGAAGUGCAGAAAUCAAGUUCAGUAACAACAGAGAAUAUGGUUCGUAGAAAUUUGAAAGAUGAAUCUGUUUCAAACAUGUCGAUAUCAUGACAGAUCAGCCAAAUUGAUUCACAGCCGUUUAAUUCAAUGUCUUCACGUCGACACAGAUCGAUAAGGGUACCUGGUUUUGCUGUGAUGACUGCAUCUAUCAAACAAUUUCACGUUUCUUUCUCAGUUGAGCAUUUCCUUCUCACCACGCACCUAAUUGCUUGCUCAGUUUUCCUGUCAAAUCAACCUGCGUAGGGUUUUCCUUUAUCUUCAUCUUUCUUACGCGUGUGCUCACAGCACAGUACAUCUAACAAUCACAGCCGUUCUUCAAAUUUGGCCACCUUCUUUAUAUACCAAACCAUCUCUGCUCCUACUUCCCUCAACUCAAAGCAAACACCCAUCUUGGCUAGCUAGCUUUCCGUACCUCUUCGAGUACUAAUAUCACUACUCCAACUUUUCUGGGUGGCCGGUGCUAUUGAGCUAGAGCUAGCUAGUUCUUCUGAGGUCCCUUCAAUCAGCUAUAUAGAUAGCUAGCAAUGGCCGGCUUAGAUACUUUCAAAGACCAGCAGGGCUAUCAAGAAGAAAAGAACCAAACGAUGACAGAAACUUGUACGAUGGAUGGAGCCGUUGAUUGGAAUGGCCGCCCUGCAAUCCGAGGGAGAACUGGUUCUUGGGUUGCUGCAAUUCUCAUAUUAGUGAAUCAAGGAUUGGCAACAUUGGCAUUUUUUGGAGUAGGAGUGAACUUGGUAUUGUUCUUGACAAGGGUACUGGGACAAGACAACGCUGAGGCUGCAAACAAUGUCAGCAAAUGGACCGGAACAGUUUACAUUUUCUCUCUUCUUGGGGCUUUUCUUAGUGAUGCUUACUGGGGGAGAUACAAAACUUGUGCUAUCUUUCAAGUUAUUUUUGUUAUUGGCUUGACAUUAUUGUCACUAACAACCUACCUAUUCCUGCUCAAGCCUAAAGGUUGCGGUGAUGAGCAAUCUCCAUGUGGAGACCAUUCGAAUUUUGAAUUCGGCUUGUUUUACAUCUCCAUAUAUCUCAUUGCACUAGGGAAUGGAGGCUACCAACCUACCAUAGCUACAUUUGGAGCGGAUCAGUUUGAUGAGGACGACCCCAAAGAAGGUCACUCGAAAAUUGCCUUCUUCAGCUAUUUCUACUUGGCUUUGAAUCUUGGCUCCCUCUUUUCUAACACAGGAUUAGGGUAUUUUGAGGAUAAAGGAAUAUGGACUGUAGGGUUUUGGGCAUCUACAGGCUCUGCUGGCAUGGCAUUGAUUUUGUUUCUUUGCGGAACUCCAAGGUAUAGGCAUUUUAAGCCUCAGGGCAAUCCUCUUUCUAGGUUAUGUCACGUACUGGUUGCUGCAACAAGAAAAUGGAAGGUCAAGAUCACGUCAGAUGGACAUGACUUGUAUGAGGAACACGGGAAACAAUGCUCUGAAAAUCAGAGUAGGAAAAUACUUCACACCCGAGGAAUCAAGUUCUUGGAUAGGGCAGCAAUCGUCACAUCAGAGAAGUUCAACCAAAUAGACGGAUGUGCUCCAAAUCCAUGGCAGCUUUGCACAGUGACACAAGUAGAAGAAGUUAAAUGCGUACUGAGAUUACUUCCAAUUUGGCUAUGUACAAUACUAUACUCAGUAGUUUUCACACAAAUGGCCUCCCUCUUUGUAGAACAAGGUGCCGUAAUGAAAACCACCAUCUCCAAGUUCCACAUUCCUCCAGCUGGUAUGUCAAGUUUCGACAUCCUCAGUGUGGCAAUUUUUAUCUUCAUUUACCGGCGAUUUCUCGACCCACUCGUUAUCAGGUUACGAAAAAAAGGUCUCACCGAGCUUCAAAGAAUGGGGAUUGGUCUUGUCAUUGCCAUCAUGGCUAUGCUCUCAGCAGGAGUUGUGGAGUGUUUUAGGUUAAAAUAUGCAAGAACAAAUUGCGUCACUACCGAUUGUGAGAGUCGAAGUUCUUUGAGCAUAUUUUGGCAAGUUCCUCAAUAUGUGCUCGUCGGAGCUUCCGAAGUGUUCAUGUACGUGGGUCAGCUAGAAUUCUUCAACAGUCAAGCACCUGAUGGGUUAAAGAGCUUCGGUAGUGCACUUUGCAUGACUUCAAUAUCACUUGGAAACUAUGUGAGUAGUUUGCUGGUUACGAUAGUGAUGAAGUUUUCUAGUAGGGAUAAUAUAUUUGGAUGGAUACCUGGAAACCUUAACAAAGGUCAUCUGGAUAGGUUUUACUUUCUCUUAGCGGCUUUGACUACAGCUGAUCUCAUGGUCUAUAUAGUUUGUGCCAAGUGGUACAAGUAUAUCAAGUUUGAAGCAAAGGGAGGAGAUGAUCACAAUGAAAAUAUUAGGCAAGCUGAACUUGGAGUCUGAUCAGUUUCUGAAAUAUUUGCAAUGUGUGGGCUAAUAAAGCAAAGAUGCAUGGGAUAAGUCGUACAACUAAUUUCGGUAGAAUUUCUUUUUUAUUACGACAUAAGAACUGUUAUUGUACAACAACUCCUGAGUGGAAUUCUAGAUUUUCCACUUUAAAAUGGGAUACGAAAGCCACUAAACUUAGUAUUGGACCACUUAAUUCGGUAGAACAAACAUUGCUUGCUAUCACUACUACAAAAAAGGCCCAGAUCAAAUAGGGACAAAUACUAAUCUGUGCCUUUUAAGCAAUGAAUGGAGACAGAAUGGGCACAGAUGCCAUUGUGAAUUGUACAUAACCUUUAUUCAACCCUAACUUCUACCUCUCCUGACAUUUACUGAGGUGACCUAGUGUUUCAUCUAGAACGCGCCUCAAGCGUGAGAGGAUGUUGGUUUCGUGCCUUUUGUUGUGGGGUUUGUUACCCGAUGGUGGCUCUGUGUUUUGCAGAUCAGGUGUGUCUAGUGCGGUGAGGCCAUAGAUCUUGGAAGGCAUUAGAGAAAUUGAAGAACUUAAAAAGCUUCUCAAAUGCUGCUAAUCCGAAGAACAUAUCAAGGGCACUCACAAGUCCCGGAAAGGAUUGAGCAGAAGUGAAUGCUUUGGUAUUCAAAGUCCCGAUGGCACCUUGGAGAGGUAAGGAGUAUGAAGCGCGCUAGAGAUAUUAGAGACCAGCUCAAGGGACUCAUAGAGAGGGUCGAGCCUGAGCAGGUCUCA